rnacentral:misc_RNA from 1 species
AACUGCAGCAGGCGAUAAUGAGCGGAGGAGUGGCGGCGCAAGAUAACAGGAGAGGAGACGACGGCGGGCUAGGAUGCUCUGGGGGAGUAGAGGGGCAGGCGGAGGAUGCGGAGUCCGCUUACGUUGAUCCCGAGAGGGUGAUAGUGACAGCAGGUCCGAGUUGCAAGGGGUGCCAGAAACGGGCGGCAACGGUGGUGCUGCUGCCGUGUCGGCAUCUGUGUCUCUGUACAGAAUGUGACCAAGUAGUUCAAGCUUGCCCACUUUGCCUCCAAGUAAGAAAUUCCAGUGUAGAGGUUUUUCUGUAUUAGCCCAAUGCAGUAGGCCCGGGCCCAUUAAGAAGCCCAGCCCAUAUGGGAUUGAAAGUUUUUACAAGGACUAAGAAAAAAAAAGGAAAAAUAAAAAAAAUAAAAAAGUCUUUCAGUAUUAUUUUACUCAGAAUUAU